CAUGAAGACAGUCAUUAUUUUUAACCUUAAACUGAUGAAUACUUUUGAAGGACCUAAGCCACCCCAUUUUGUUAAAAAAAAAAAAAAAAAGACUCCAUUUUAGAGUUCUGAGGAAAGAAUCUUUGGAAAUCCCCUGACCUCAAGCCACCACCUACAAGCCAAUCAGAUCCCAGAUUAGGAUCUCCUGACUUUACAUUCAGGACUUACAACCUGCCCAGGAAAUUAAAAUUAAGCCUGGGAAAUGGGAACUAAUCAGAACCCGUGGCCAGCCCAGGAAAUGAAAACCAAUCAGAACCCAACACCUAACCCUUCCACAGAAGGUUCACAAGAGUCAUUCAAAUCACCUAUGCUGACUGGAG
ensembl:lncRNA